rnacentral:lncRNA from 1 species
ACAAGAAUCCAUUCGAUUUUCUGGCUUGCUAGCUCUAUCAGUAUUGUCUGUUUACUUAUCUAUUGUUAUGAUGGAAAUUAUACAGGAAUUAUAACAGGAAUAUUCAUGCAUGCACUUUUUUCCCUUCUUUUUUCCCCACUAUACUUCUAUAGCAUCAACACCUUGUAAACAAGGAUGAAGUUGUGGCUUUUAUAGAUUGAUCUCUAAGGAAUAGUAUGCUUAAUGCCAUGAAAAUAUGCCAGAAUAAUAACCAGCAACCUUAGAAAGGAAAGUCCAAGUCUUGGAAUCUGAAUACGUUCAUCAGUACAUUCUCUUGUGCUAGAGGACUUCCACCCGCAGGUCAGCCUGGAUACUGCAGCUGAAGUGUGACCUGCACUUUGUGGCAAAACUAGCCAGAGCAGCAGGUAAGUCCUAUAUUUCCAGCAGAAGGCAAGGAGAACUCUGGAUUUACUUUGGCAAGGGCCCCCAGAGUCAGGGACAGCUGAUGAGAGGGCCCAUAUCUGAGACACAGCCAUUUCAGCAAAGGAGAAAAGUGCAGCCCCUGGCUCUGUAUCCCUCACAUCUGGAUUCAUCUUCUCAUGGGCAUAACAUGACGUACUCAUGAUUACUUUAGCCAGGUGGGUUUCAGAAGACAGAAAAAAGCUGGAGGAGCUCACCAUUUACAGAUGUGGAAACCAUUUCUAUAACUGACAGUGUGCUUUGGCCAUUUCUUAUUAAUGUCUUUUGAUAAUCUCCUUCACAAAUCAAGCAAAC